rnacentral:lncRNA from 1 species
CGCAGGUGUGGGGAAGCGCCCAGCAGCCCUCAUGGAACUCGGGAUCACGGCAGGAAGGGGGCAACGUGGAUGGACACCUGCACCCUGUGUGGGGGUAUAAAUCACCCUACAGGGCGCUCGUCACCUGGCCAGCCAGCACCGCACCCGACUCAGCCCCAGCAUCGACCAGAAGUCCCCGGCCCUCAGACCGGCCGCCCAGAGACAGUGGGAGUGAGGAGGCCACACACCGUCCAGGUUGAAUCACUGCGUUUUACUGAGUGCACAGGUCCACCUGGCGUCCGAACUCGUCCCCGUGGCAGCAGGGAUCCCCAGAACCUUCCACGGCCAUCGCGGCCGCAGGACCCCACACCCGAAGUCCCCCGCAAACCCGCACUGGCGCAUUCUUACGGCUCUGGCAUCAACCUGUCCGUGUGAGUAAGUUAAUAUCUCAGCUAAUCUGUUAGAAAACUAGAGUUCAUUCCCUGGGCGUCUAUCCCUAGAAAAUGGACGGUGCACAAAGUUGAGAUUGAAGUGUGCGGGGUAACACAUCCACCAAAAAAAGGCCUGGUCACUACGGCACAAGGACACAUACAAAAUGGUCAGAAGUGUACGUCGGUACUGAAGGCAUUAUGAAAUGUUCUUUGGAGCAUGAACAAAAGUGCAGACAGCCAGAGGCAACGGCGCAAAUGGGGAAGCUGCAGCCACCGUCACGGCCAGAGGAUGGCAGACUGCAAUGGCGUGGGGCGCGGGCAUGGCGGGCACACGUGGGCCGUGUGGAUCCCGGGCAGAGGGAUGGCGUCCAGCGGGACCACCAGCUCUGGGCGCCUCAGUGCGAGACCCCUCCGUGAGACCCCUCCUGCCCUGCGCGUGUCUCUGGAGCCCGUCCCUUGGGCCCCU